rnacentral:rRNA from 1 species
GACGAGCGCUGGCGGCGUGCUUAACACAUGCAAGUCGAACGGAAAGGCCCUGCUUUUGUGGGGUGCUCGAGUGGCGAACGGGUGGGUAACACGUGAGUAACCUGCCCUUGACUUUGGGAUAACUUCAGGAAACUGGGGCUAAUACCGGAUAGGAGCUCCUGCUGCAUGGUGGGGGUUGGAAAGUUUCGGCGGUUGGGGAUGGACUCGCGGCUUAUCAGCUUGUUGGUGGGGUAGUGGCUUACCAAGGCUUUGACGGGUAGCCGGCCUGAGAGGGUGACCGGCCACAUUGGGACUGAGAUACGGCCCAGACUCCUACGGGAGGCAGCAGUGGGGAAUAUUGCACAAUGGGCGGAAGCCUGAUGCAGCAACGCCGCGUGCGGGAUGACGGCCUUCGGGUUGUAAACCGCUUUCGCCUGUGACGAAGCGUGAGUGACGGUAAUGGGUAAAGAAGCACCGGCUAACUACGUG